rfam:Loxodonta africana unplaced genomic scaffold scaffold_13, whole genome shotgun sequence.
ACAUAAGCUCUUUUUAGAGCUAUAAAAAACAAUGACUUAAGUGCAUU